rnacentral:tRNA from 3 species
GGUCCCAUCGUCUAGUGGCCUAGGACACCACCCUCUCAAGGUGGAGACACGGGUUCGAAUCCCGUUGGGACUACCA